GGGGGCGUUCUGGAUUCGACAGGCAUAGUUUGAGCUUGAGUUGCGUUCUGUAGGUUACGUCUACAUUAAAACGUUACAGUUAAAUAUAACUGCAAAAAACAAUAACAACAAUUUCGCUUUAGCUGCGUAAAAACAGUUAACGAAGAUCCUUCCGGCAUCACCCAUGUGCUCGGGUCAGGGUCUCAAACUCAGUGGGUUACGUUACUUGACUUCCGUCUGCAGUCAGUAAAAGAGACCAUCAGACUAGCUUUAAAAGACGCCUGUUAUACGGCAGCUUUUAGAGCGAAACUUCAAUAGUAUAACUAUGAACGUAGAAACUUAGGUGGCGAUAUGUUUGGACAGGGGUUCAAUUCCCCUCGCCUCCACUU
rnacentral:tmRNA from 1 species